GCCAGACUCCUACGGGAGGCAGCAGUGAGGAAUAUUGGUCAAUGGGCGGGAGCCUGAACCAGCCAUGCCGCGUGAAGGCGAGUGCCCUACGGGCGUUAAACUUCUUUUGUGCGGGGGCAAUAAGGGCCACGUGUGGCCCGAUGAGAGUACCGCACGAAUAAGCAUCGGCUAACUCCGUGCCAGCAGCCGCGGUAAUACGGGGGAUGCGAGCGUUAUCCGGAUUUAUUGGGUUUAAAGGGUGCGUAGGCGGGGCGUUAAGUCAGGGGUAAAAAGGCGGAGCUCAACCCCGGCGAGCCGUUGAAACUGCCGUUCUUGAGUGAGCGAGAAGUAUGCGGAAUGCGUGGUGUAGCGGUGAAAUGCAUAGAUAUCACGCAGAACUCCGAUUGCGAAGGCAGCAUACCGGCGCUCAACUGACGCUGAAGCACGAAGGCGUGGGUAUCGAACAGGAUUAGAUACCCGUGUAUAG
rnacentral:rRNA from 1 species